CCCCUCUCAGGGUUGCACCUGGAGAGUUUCUGGUACUCUACCAGUCUUGAUUAUGGGAGGGAGAGUCACGCUUUGGCACACACACCCAUUCCAUUCCUAGCUUGGACAGCGGCUAGCGAGUGGAAGGCAAUCUGCUAUAAGU